rnacentral:rRNA from 1 species
AUGGAACAGGGUAAUCUUGUGCUAACUGGUCCUGGAAGAGCCAUCUCAGCAGAUGGACCUGUCUUCCGCAUCCAUCUUGAUGACAACAGUCAAGAUAGCUCUAUUGAAGAAACCUGGAAGAAGAGUGUGCUUUUAUACCGAGAGGACCCCACAUUCGACAGGCCGUUAUUAGAUAUUGCCAAUACUCCUUAUGGUCCCGUGGAGGUGACCUAUGCCAUCUUGAGCCAGGGAGUUGAAUGCGAAGUUGCUGUGAGGCUUACCCAUCGCGAUGUAAAAGAUCCUAUCUGCCUUUUUGGGAGAAUUGUCGCUCGCAGCGAGCUGUUUGAUAUUGGCUGCGUGCUUUUCUACAACGAAGAUGUGAAGGGCAUAUGUGCACGAUCAGGAGAACUGAUUCCUUUGGCUGGACAUCUGCUUGCGGUGCCAUUGUACAAGGUGCUGGUAAUUGAAUUGGAUCUGCACUCUGAUUGUGGUGACGAGAUUAUGAGGGGAACACUAGAGUUUCAUCCCUUGCCCGAAGGCGAUCAAACGGCGCGUCUGAUCAGCAAGAGUGGUACUCAAAUCGAAGUGAAAAUCUUCAUUUCACAGUAUUUUAGGUAG